UAAUCCAAAUUCUGCAGCAGUAUUGCUGCAGACUAGAAUUUCAAUGGAAUUUUUGAAUUUUUUUUUUUUUUUUAAAUCAGACUUCAUAAGUAAGGGAGAAUAAGACAGCAUGUGUUAUGUGAAUGCUGUAGCUUUUCUUUCUGACGUGAACCUUUGCCAAAGUACCCUUCAGGCUCAACAGAAAAUCUUCCACAUUGUAAAAUCAAUCAUCUGCAUAAGAUGUUUCUCAACUCUUUCUCAAUGCUAUUGAGUAACACUAGUUAAACAUUGUCUGCCUGGUUAAUUAUAUUUUGGUUUAUACUUUGUCAUAAUUGCAAUUGUCACAGAGUAGUUUACGUAGAAAAUUGAAAAAAAUAUCACUGAAAGAAGAUGAAGACAGGGUAUUAGGGCAAAAGGUAGAUGUGCACAACACUAGACUUCUGGAGUACAUUGCUUCAGCAAAUUCAUGACCAUGGACAGGAGAUACCAUUGAAAGCCAACAGACUAUCUACAUCCAAGCUGUCACUUUUUACUACGUGAGAACAAGAGACAAUUUGGAGAUGCUGAGUGUGCCACUGACAGAAUGGAAAACUCUGUGUUAAAGUUAAGUUAAAAUAAAGUUCUUGCUCCUGGACUCUGAGGAAAUAAAAGUCUCUGAAGUGAGUAUGUUGUUUUUCUCUGCAACUAGGAAAACGAUGCUGUACACCAGUUGGGAUGUAGUAUUUCUGCCAACUCUGUCUGCACAUAUUUUAAAGUUCCUUGCAUAAAGACCCUUGCAUCAAGGGUCUAAAGUUUGAAUUGUUUGCUCUUAUCAGGUGGAGAAGGAAUUCUCCUCAAUAGCUUUAGAUUCUCCUGUGAACAGACAGGUAGGGAACAUAGCUACAGCGGUAGCCAAGGCAGAUAGAAGAGACUAUGUCUAACAAUUUGCAACAAUUGGAAAACUAAGAGAUUGUCAAUAUCUGCAUUUGUGAUUUUUCUUUUUUACUACUUCUUCUUGCUGCUUUCUCAUCACCUGAAUACUUCCCCAUCUAGUUGCCUAGUUUUUUAUUUCCAGCUAAUCUCAUAAAUAUUGAAUAUCCAUUAUUGGUACAAUUAUACCGCAAUACAAGCCAGCGAGAGGAAUUUAUUUAUCUACUGAUGUCAGUAAAUCAAGGCUCUGGUUGCUCAGACUGCCUUACUACACAUAUGUUGGGAGAAGCAGGAGGGUGCCUAUUACCUUACUCACACUGUUGGAAAACUGUGUUCAGCUAGAUCACCAUCAGGCUAUAUCUCUAGAGCUGGCUGUUGGUUUCCAAAUUAAACUUCUGGGACUCAACAUCAAAGUUAUUUCCCAGGGCAUGUGGUCAGUUUAAUUUUGCAUUGUAAAAUGGCAUGAAUUUCUAAACACUUGCAGCCAAAUUUUCAGUGGAGGUAUAAAUUAGCUGGUAGACUGUUAUCAUGAGUGCUAGGGGAUUUAUUUGUCUGCCUUCAGUUGUAGCAGCAGCAAACUUAAAUUUGAAAAUCCCGGCUGAGCUCCAUCCAUUGCAGUGGUGCUUUAAACACAUCAGUCUAAUUCACUGUUCUCAAUCAGCAGCCAGAAGACUCCUUUGUAACACAAAUUAAUUCCAGCUUUUGGUUUCCCAUUGAGGAUAUUAUUUCAGAUUAUAUUUCCUCAGGUAUGUUAGUAUGCAUUUUCCAAGCUGAAUCCUGAUUUAUUUUCAGGCCACAUUUCAAAUGUCUGUGUGUUAUUUCUCUGUCAUCUUUCAUUUGCAGUUGUUCAUCUCGUAUGUAUAUUUUCUUAAACUUUAGUUUGUGUAUAAACGGAUUUAAAACAUUACUGCACACCUUUCCAAGUUUAGCAUGUUCUUGGCUAACACUCCUUUCUGUUUCUAGGCACAGAAUCAAAGAAGAUAAAUUUAAAGGAAACCUGAAGAGGUCUCCUAGUCUAUUUUCCUGCUCCAUCAUACCAUCAGCACUAAAUUGUUCCUAGCAAACAUUGCCUGGUGUCUGCUUAAAAGUCUCCAAAAUUCCAUUAUUUCUCUAGACAAUGUAUGCUGUCCUGUUCUACUAAACAAUCUUACCAACAGAAAAAGCGUCACAGUGUUUAGUCUAACUUGCCCCUGAAAGACUUGCAAUGGCUGAAUAAUACGCAUGUUGGUCCUUCAUUUAACCAGUUUUCAUUCCAGAUUGACCUUAAAUCCAUGCCCCCUUACAGAUAUGCUUUUGGUUAAUUUUCAGAGAGGGUGAAAGAAAGGAAUAGUACCCUUUCCUUAGCUGUCUUAUAAUUACAUUUGGUUUGUUUUCUAAGUUUAGCUUGAGUGAUCCAUAACAGAAGAGAUCUCAAGGAACCCCUUUGACUUGCCAUUAAAAAAAAAAAAAAAGUCACAGCAACUACAAUAGCUAAUAGCCACACAAAGACAUAUUAGGAAACAUUUUACACAAAAGAUGAGAGCAGAUUCUAAGAAAUCUCACUUGCAUUUGGCAGUGUAGUUGUUGUAGAUCAAUUGUUGCAUUUCUAUUUUCAAGUAGCAGUUCACUGCCAGCGAAGGCAGUCAGCCUGGCAGGCACAGGGACUGCAGCCUGCAGCCCUCAGGACCAAAUACCUUUCAGAAAACAGUGGGGUUUACAUUAAUCUGACUGUUCCUCCAGACCCCUCAGUGGGGGCACACAUAGGCUAAUAAAUUCAUUAUUAUUGCCUUCAUGCCCUUUCCUUCCUGGUCUUUUGACCCCAGACCACUAUGAAGAAUUAAAAAUAUUUUUGUGUCUGCAGCCACUGGUCACUGAGCAUGUUACUGCAACCAUCUUUUCACUUCAUGUGGCUCACUGAAUAGCCAUUGGUUGGUAACUAUGGGCUGCAAUUGGAUCAUCCAGUCUCUCACAGACCAAUUCAGCACUCAGAGAGACAGAAAAAUCUUUCUAUUGACUUUAAAAAGCAUUAGCUUGGGCUUUUUCUCAUAUUCUUCACCUUCUAUCACAAUAUUCUGAGCCACUUAGCUGUUACUUGCUACCUUUUAGAGUCUAUCACUUAGCCACAAGUGAAGCGAAAGACUACCCCUAAAAAAUGCCUGAAAAUUACAUUUUAAUUUUGUCUUAAUCCAUAAAUAUUUCACAUUGGUGUGUUGCUGAAGACAGUCAGGCUCCAGACAUGCCAGAAGUUUUUAGCAACAUUACGUUAGCGCAGGUCAAAGCUGACCCCUGGAGGACUAGUAAAUGCUCGCAUGACAGUGUGCUGGGGUUACAGUUGUGCUGGGUCUUUACAGAGAGAUUCCACUGCCUUAAACCAAGUGUCUUACAGGUUCAGAUUACUAAAUGCUUUUUAGGAGUUCAUGAACAGGGAACCAGGGUUGGCAGUGAGCCAGCGAAGGGCAGGAUGGUCUUAGCACUAGUUCUCUCACGGAGGUCAAGCUUUGCUUAGCCUGCUUACCCUGUUCUCUGUUUUGGCCACUUCCCAAUCUCUCUUUUGGUAAAGAUGGUGGAAAGGACAGUGGGAAAGUGCAUGCAUCAGCUGAUCUCAGAAUGGCCAGUCUCUGCCUGUGUUCAAUUUCUCUUCUACCACUGUUUACUCCCUUUUCUUACUUUAUUCCAUUCAGGCCCUUCUUUCUCCCUACCUUUUCCACUCACUUUCUUCAACCCAUUUCCCUUUUGACUCUCAUCUGCUCUUCCACUGAUUUAUUUGGUUGGUUGUUACAAUCUACUUAUUUACAAGUUAUUAUUUCAGUUGCAGGAGCACCAAUGGGUCUGAACUGAGACUGAGUUCCCGUUGUACAAUUUAAAUGCAUAGCAAGAGACAGUCCCCAUCCUGAAGAUUUCUCACUCUGAGUGGGCAAGACAAGAGAAGUAAAAUUACUUUCCCAAGGUCCUACAGCAGGUCAGUGGCAGAGCAGAAAUUAGCACUAAAGUCUCUCAGCUUGGUCUUCUGAGUCUCAGCCUAGACCCUGUCUGUUGUAUCUGUUACUUUUCUCCCUCUCUUUCUACAUAUUUUGUUCCUGGCAGUCUUGAUCAUCUGCCUGUGCUGGAUUGACCUUGGGAAUGGUAGGCAGAGUUUUUUCCUGAUUGUGGUGUGGAUGUUGUUUCCCCACACUUUUUCCAAGAACUCCAUCCCCAAAGCCAAGGCAUCUCCAGGGAUUUGUGUAUAAAAGUGCUAUGCUGUGUCUGCUUUUGCUUCAAAGCCUUGAUACACCUGAUGCACUGUAUUGGCAAGGCUGAGCCUGUUCUCAAAGGCAAACUUGUCCACUGCUUUUCAAGCAUGCUCCUAAACUUUUAGGACUCCCUGGAGGAGGAGGAGGAGUCUGAAUGCUUUCUGUUUCUUAAGGUGUGUCAUAGCUCCUUUAUGUAAGACAUAUGAGACAGGGACAAGGAGAAACAAUACAACCUAUACUGUUUACAUACCUUGGGUUCUGUUUGCUUAACCACAGAGUAGACACUCUGAGCCUUGGUUGCAACUGGUCUUGUGGAUAGAAAGUCAGUGAGCCUGGCCUGCUUCACCCUGCUCCUCACCUCACAGAGCAGCUAUAGCACCAGCCAUUUGUCCACUUACUACAGCAACUGGGAAAACUUGGGAAUUUAACACAUUUCUGGAAAAAAUUGCUUUGGAGCUGUUUCCCUUGGAGAAUGAGGGAUGAAAUUAUCUUCUUAAUUUCUUUCACCUUUCCUUUGCCACCUCAGCUUCUGUGGAAACUCUGUAAGGAUACUUUCAGAAGCUCAUAUGUGAAAUAACCAGGGAGGGCCAUGAAGAAAAGCACCUUUACAAGACUAAUCCUGAGAGACUUUUCUCCACUCCCUUCUUCUUUUUCCUAAAUAUCCUCCUUAUUGCAUAUAAACAUAGGGUGUUAUUACUUCAACAGUCACCAGGUAAAAAUGCUUGUGUUUUCAGUCACCUGAACAAAUACUUAUUUAAAUGGUCCUUUUCCAGCCCCAUGGAGACAAAGGUGAAUUUAUAAUCAGUAACUUUUCCAAAGUCAGUCUGGGCCAUAUUAGCAUCUAAGAAAGCAAAACAAAGGAAAAACCCAAACCCAGCACACAAGCUUAAUUGAGUGGCUAACAGAAGGCAGAAGAUUAAGGAAGAAUCUCAGUGGACAGUUUCCUCUCCAUAGAAAACCCUGAGCUUGGACACAUGUUGACAAGCCAAAAGCUAGGGUUGUAUUAUUAUAGGUGCUGCUGUCAGUAGAUUUAUUUUGUGCGUCUCUUCACAGAUUAUCUCCAGUUCGAUGAUUUUAUAUUCUGAUGCAGGGUGCAUUUUGUAUUUUGAUUGCUAUGUGUUGGAGAAAUUCAUUAGGCUUUCAGAAGGAUAUUCCAUAGCUGUAAGCCUUUAAAAUCACCAUGUGUUUCUUGUUUCUCUAUGGCAUUCCGCUUGCAUCUGCUUCUUAUGUGGGACUUCCAGAUCAGCCACAUUUCAGUGGACUGCUUGUCUCCCAGUGGUGGAGCACAUGGCUGAUAAUACAGGGACAUGUAAGCAUUCAUGGUGCUUUUCUUUUUGAAAGCACGUGCCUAGUAUUUAACACAGUCGAUACUUUUAGGGACAAAAACAAGACAGAAUUGUCCUCCGUACCCAAGAAGAAGGGAAAAUAUUGGAGCGUUUGUGCUUGUGGAAACUUUGCUUUUAAGGUUCAUAGAAAAUACACUUGAAAUUUAUCCUACUAAGGCAACGAUGAGGAUUCACAAAGAAUGUUGAUUAUGUUUGCUGGUUUAUUUGCUACUAAAAAUCCUGAAUCUGUCCCAGUGGCUACAGAAUCAGUUCAUUCCUGCUUCACAAUAAAAUAUUUUACUGAGGGCUGCAGCAGGCAAGCAGGAUGAAGACUGGAGAGAAAUGCUGCAAGAAUAUAUGUGUUAUAAUAUUUUUCUUUUCUGAACUCAUUGCAAAGGAGAAAGGAGAAAAGCCUAAGACAUGGUCAGGGAUUCCUUAAAUUCCUUCAACACCAUGCAGCUGCCUAAAUGCCUUUCCCUCUACCAAGUAUUUUCCCACAGGUCACUAAGCAUUUGAACAUCUGCUGCUGGAUAGAUGUACUUCACUCCUUUCCAUGACCAUGGUGAGUGCAUUGAACGCCAGUUAAGCUUUAUUAGUUUGCACAGGAGCUCUCUGUGUAGUUCAGCUGCAGAGUUCAGUCUAAUCUCUGUUUUCAGAGAACACUUCCUAGGUGAGGCUCCCCACACAGAAGCCAGAAAAGGAGUUUAUUUCCUUGCUUCAUGACGGGCACUUGGAUGAAAUAGUGAACAUCCAGGGUCAGAUCUCUCUUCAGCCCAAAAGUGUGUGUACUCAUAUCUCCAAAGCAGAUUGUGAAUAUUCGGGUCAACAACUUCAGAAGAAGUGACUAUAACAGCCUCCCUUCCACAGGUAGCUCUGUGCGUGGAUUUUCAGCUCAAAGGUGUUAAUCAUACUUAGCACGGAGACCAGGGACUGAACCUGGCAUAGGCUAUUCCUCUUGCAGAAGGCUGUACCUUAAAAGCAAGAGUUUUCUUGGCUCAGACACAAAGCUCCAGAAGACAGCUUAUUGGUGGGAAGGCCAAAGAGGGAUGGACGCUCUCCUAUACAAGAUUAAUGUUUUUCUAUCACCCAUUUCUUGGUGACUACAUAGGUUCAUCCCUUAGUUUUUUGAGAUGCCAUGUUUUGGUAUGACUGACUCUCCACAUAGGUUAUUUUCUGGGUGCCUUGCUUGAUCAAGGACUUUGAACUCCAUUGAACAGUUUGGGUACAUAAAAGCUAAGAAUCCUUUCAUGGAUCUAGCAUGAAAACCUUCCUCACAGCACUGGGCAGACAUGCUAGAAGAACUCCACAGAGUUAUUGGGACAGCUGUUCUCCCUGCCUUCCCUUUACAGCAAUUUCCAAUUUUAUGCAAGAGGGAUGGUGGGUGUAUAUUCUACUGUUUCCAAAGUGAAGACAUUGACUGAGACAGAGACUCAGCUGUGUCAAGCAAUAACACUUCACAGAAAUGGUGAGUCAGUUCAUAUUCACUAAGGAACUGCCAUGGUUUCAGUCUUCUUACUGCUUAUUAAUGUUAUUCAAAGAUUUAAAAAAUCCCAGUAUCAUGCUUUCUAAACGGGAAAACUGCAGUGUUUUAGUAACUCAGAAUCAUAACAAGGCAUAACUGUACCCAUUUUGUUUCCCCACUUAAAAUUUUGCACCGCAUGACAGAGCAAGAGGCGCCAUCAAAUGGGCUCAGUGUCCCUGUUCACAAAUAAAGCGUGUACAAAGUGUGUCAGCAUUUCAACUGGGGCCCUUCUCCUGAAGGCUGUUAAUUAGUGCAGAAUGCAGACUUCAGUUCUUCUGCCAGGGUAGAUGAAAAUGAUUUUGGAAGACAGCCCAGACAGAGGAAUUUGUCAUAGGUUAGAACCGUUCCAGCUCUAAGAACCAAGUGUACAGCUUAUGCAAAUCACUUUGCUAAACACAGAUUCUGUGUUAAUUUUUUUAAUGCUUUUUCUUUGACUAGCAACAAGAGCUCACUUGCCAGAUCUUGUCUGAAAUCAAAAAGAAGUGAUUCCUUCUCUGCACACAAAAAAAGAAAAAUGUUUCUAGUCUAACACAUGUCAAAAAAGAGCUGGAGUGUAAGAAUAAGGCAAAUGUUCAAAGGAAGCAGGAAUGGAAAAGCCUGAUGACAUCACCGCUCCAUCUGCCCAGGGCUGUCAGAUUCCUCAGUACAAUGUGCUCUAAAGUACAUUGAAGGUGAGGCUGGAAGAAGCACUGAGCAAUGUCUCAGAAUGCACUGAAGAAAUAGCUCUACAAAUUGAAUGUAAGACCAUUUUCCUGAUUACUGGCAGAUGCCAUCACCAUUCUUUCUGACAGAUCUAUUCAUAGCACAUAAAUCUGCAUACAGAUCAGCAGAGUUCUGAAGCAAAACCUCCAGCUACAUCAGUGAGGCCACAUUUUGUCUCAAGGUCCUAUUAGAGGAACAUGUGAACUUGUCUCAUCCCUUACUGCAUUUAAGCCAUUUCAGCUGAUUGAACUUACAGGCAUUUCAGAUGAAGAAAACAGGUACUGACUGCUGCUGAAGACUUAAAAAAAAAAAAACAACCAAAAAAACCAAACCAAAACAAAAAAAGACAACAGUUGCUGGCUUUUGCAAAGGAAACAUGUUGGUCAGAGAAUAAGCUGCAUUCCCAGUAAAAUCUUUGAAGCUGACACAAAGCAUUUCUAGGAAUUAUGCAUGUUUCUUUCUAUCUCAAUUCAAUGCGUUUCUCUCUCUCUCUCCCCCACCUGCCCAAAUCUUUAGCUUCAGUUUGACAGAGUGGCUGAGAACAGCCACUGACAUCCUUACCCAGACAUAUAAAUGUAAAAAAACCCUGAGGCCCAACUGUAUCUGUCAUUUGUACCAACAGUUGUGGGCUGCAAAGGCUGAAAACAAUUCUCCCCCCUCCUGUGCUAGGACCGUGCAGUCAUUGUUGUUCCCGCUGUUGUGUCCUACAGUGGUGCCCCCAGGAUCCCCUGCAUGGGGAGCAGAGAGACAGGGAGCAAAACCCAGCCUGAACUGUGAGCUGCUCACAAAUCAGUUGAGCAGAUAAACAAGAGGGACAGGGUAUUUGUUAUUUCUAUUUUGUGGUCAGGGGUAGUGGCACCAAAGGCACCCAGAAAGCCUCUGGCAGAGCCAGGAGCUGAUCCCAGAGCUUGUAGGUCCCAGGAAUGAGACUUUGGUCUCUCCUGGAACAGCUCCUGCCUCUCCAAUCUAUGGCUGCUAAUCCUGUUAGCACUUCCCAGGGACUUGGGCCUGGCGAGUAGACACUUCUGCAGGAGGUUGGCCGUGACACGAGGCACUUCACGGUGGCUGCCAGCCACCUCUGUCUGGCAGCUCUCUGGAGUUCCCUCAGCCUGGGGAAGGGUAUCUGCCUGAGGGUUGGAGCAGGGCCAGUCCUCUGGAGCAGCAGCUUCUGUGCAACAAGAGCUGCUACCAUGUCCCCCAUGUCCUCAAGGAGAGCAUAUGCUUAUCUUCAGUUCCUAGCCAGGGCAGCUCAGCUGCCUCUCGCCACCAGUUUGCACAGUGUGAUCAAACUUUACAACUCCACCUGAGUAGGUGGCUCCUCUCCUCUCCUGCCCCUGCUCAGGGGGGCCCCUGCAAACUGUUGUUUGCAGUGAGCUCUCCUUUCCCCCUUCCCAACUCCUGCACCUUCCCUUGCAUUAUCUCACUUCUUCAUCACCGGUCUCCCUUGCCUCAUAAUCCCUUCCAUUUAGCAUGCACUGGCAUUUUGGGCACUGUCGUGGUUAUUUUGUGUGUAUGCUGAUGUGACUGGGGGCAGAGUGCAGAUUCACUGCCUUGUGCUCCUUGCCUUGUCCAUGUCUGCAAGCUAUCCAGUGCUGGAGAGCUCUGCUCUACUGCUGCAGUUCUAAAAUAAUGUCACUUUGUGGCCAUUUCUUAAUAAAUAGCUGCUGGUUUGGGGGGAAAACAGUCCAUUCUCUGAAAGGAUUGUCUGCGCUACAGAGUCCAUCUCACACAACAACAGUAAGAUGCCUAAGAGAAACCAGAAAGAUGCCUCAGGUUCAACAGAUUCAAAUUUUGAAGGGAAUUUCAAGACUAGUAAACUCCAUGAACAUGCAGAGCAAAGCUCUUUGCAAGCAAUGUGCACUGCUUCCUGUGUAAGCUAUGCACAUUCAGCACAAGAAAAACACUCUGAAAUGUCAUCAUUCACAGCACUCAGAAGAUGAACCAGAACUUCUCAGGAGCUAACAACAGCAAAAGCAGCACAAGUUUGGAGUGUGUUUACAGCUUCUGUAAUAGGUAAAACCUACUUUUCUGUUGUAUUCAUAACCUUACUUCACUACAGGGCAGCUGAGGUACUCAGAAAACGGGCUGGGAAGUCAUCUCCCAGCACAUGGCAGGAUCACUUGGGGAUAUACUGCAAUGGGCUCAGGGUGGUUUUGUUGCUUCAUGGCUUUAGACUCCAUCCCUGCUCCUUCUGUGGUCUGUGAUGCAGCUCUCACUUCCAUGGUUCAGAACUGGAUGUCCCAUGUGACAGGCAUACAAAAUUGUAUUACUGGCAGAUACAAACACACAGAAAUUGCACAGUGAAUCAUUUUAAGUGUGUGUUGUUAUGCACCCUGUUUCCAAGAGGACCAGUAGAAAUGAGGACCUUAAAUCAGAUUGUAACCGUUCCACGUCUUAAGGCAAGGAGUAGCAAGCAUGUAAGGUAUCAUGUCUUCACCACUUCUCCUGGUUGUGGAAAAAAAAUAUAUAUGUGUUACUGCUCACAUUCAUAAUGCUGAGAAGAUCUGACCAUGGCAGCAAUUAAAGACUUGACUAAGCACUUAAGCACACGUUGAAUUUCAUUAAUUAAGGUGUUUAAUUGCCAUUGUUUUCUGUGGACUGGAUUAUCUUUUAAAACUUUGGAGUGCUCUGACAAACUGAGGGACUCAAAUAGCACCAUUAAUGUUUCAAAAAGGUAGACAGUAAGAGAACUUAACUUGCAGUCCUAGUGAAUCCACUAUUCCUAAAGAAGCGAUGACUGCAAGUUAAUCACAGCGCUGUGAUUAACUGCAUGGGUUGCACUGCAUAGUCUGUCUUGUGACAGUUGGAAGAACAGUCUUUUCCCUUGAUAACUUCUGAGUGUCAGGUUCAGGGAGGCUGUGUAGAUUGGUGGCCAUGCCUUCUCUCUUGACUGAGAUAAGCUACCAUCUGGUAAUGCUUCAGAGAAGAACCUUUCCUUAUUGUCACUUCCUUUGUCUGAUGGUCUGUAACAUCUGACCUCUGCUUCACAGGUCAUGGCCUUCACCUCCUUUCUUUCCAGUAGGAAUAAUGACAGUAGGAAUAAUGACAGCAGGGUUAAGUUUAUAUGAUACCUCUUGUAAGUGCUACUUGUGAGCACUGGGGUUUUGCAGCAAUCCUUCUUUCUUUGAUGCUAAAGUUUCUGUUUUGACCUCCUUGCAACAUUAAAUCAGUCUGCCCUAUCUGCCACCAAUCUGGUCCCCUGGUUUGCAGGGGUCUGCACUUUUUUGUCUCUUCUGCCUUAUGGUCUAUGAAAACCCUGAGCUGAAGGUGCAUCUCAGUUAUCCUUGCAAGUGUGUUUUUUUUUUUUCUUUUCCAUUAAUGAGAGACUUCAGUUACCUCAUUCAUUUAUAUAGCUCUUGUUCUAUGUGUAACUGGUGGGAUAAAGGGCCAUCAACCACUAAAGCAAGGCAUAGUCUCAGCCCCAAAGCACUUCCUCUCUGAUGUCAAACGGGACAUUUUUCGUUUUUGUUUAUUAAAGGACUGAAUUCCAUGGCAAGAUUCCCAUCAGCUAUUGUGAGAACACUGUUUCAUGUUAAGUGACUUCCCUAAAUUAAUUGCCAAAUGUUCUGGCAAGACAAGUAUGAAGCCCUAAAUUCCUAGAUGUCUGUCCUGGCUUGGGAUGGAAGCUGUCCCUGUCCAAUGAUCCGAUUCUGCCCUCUGUGGCCAUUCAGAUGUGUUUCUGAAGAAUUCGGACAGACGCUGGUGCUUUGCUCCCCUGGAAAUCAUUUCAGGACAUCUGAUUGCUUUUAGGUCCCUUAACUGCCGUGAGAGUGGCAAGAAGAGAUGCUGAAUGCGUUGGUGGUUUGAUGAUAAACAUGCUAGCACCCUGGGAACCAAACUGUGUGGGUUUCACAGCAACUCUCCUGCCAGUCACUGGCACUGUCGGCAAUCACAGAGCAUAAGCAAUGUUUGGCUCACAAGCUCUGCAAGUGUGUGGCUUCACUGUGUGGCCAGCAACAAGGCAGUGAUUAUGCAGGGAAGGCUGAGCAAUCUGAAUCCCUAGCUCUGGGAGAAACCAAGGCAGGAGAGGUGAGAGCAACCAUCCCUAGGUCACCUUGGGAGGGAGGCACAGGCCCAGGCCUUCCUCAGCUGGUCACAGAACAGGGACCUUCAGGCAUCCACUACCUGCCCUUGUGUCCGAUGUUUUCCCAGGACACCUGUGGCUCUCUGAGGUGUGGUUAGCUGUCACCUCUCAUUCAUGUGCAGAUCUUGGUAUGCAGUCUCUGGCUGGGGAAGGCUGGGAACUUCCAAGGUAAAAUUCACCAAAAAUAUGUGUUUAAGAAGUAUGGCCAGAUAGUGCUGUCACUGUGAUCAGGGGCUGCAUCAGGUGCAGCAGUUUCCUUUCUAGGCACUUUCAGCCUUGUCAGUCUGACACAGCUAUGGAAGUGCCACACAGUCCAUUGGGAAGAAAAGAAAGGAAAAGGAAAAGGAAAAGGAAAAGGAAAAGGAAAAGGAAAAGGAAAAGGAAAAGGAAAAGGAAAAGGAAAAGGAAAGGAAAGGAAAGGAAAGGAAAGGAAAGGAAAGAAAAGAAAAGAAAAGAAAAGAAAAGAAAAGAAAAGAAAAGAAAAGAAGGAAAGAAAAGAAAAAAGAAAAGAGAAAAGAAAAGAAAGGAAAAGAAAAGAAAAGAAAAGAAAAGAAAAGAAAAGAAAAGAAAAGAAAAGAAAAGAAAAGAAAAGAAAAGAAAAGAAAAGAAAAGAAAAGAAAAGAAAAGAAAAGAUGUUCUCACCACUGUUACUGUCUCUUAGUGGACAUUGUACACUUCAUUCCCUUCUCUAUCAUUGCUAGGAGCUGGGCUGGAAUGAUGCUGCUGUCACCCCUUUGACUGGCGACAGGAAAUCUCUUUCACGCAUAUUUUCUUAUUUCAAAAAAUAUUUUCCAAAUUAUUACUGAAGAAGCUUUUAAAAUUGUAGAGGUUUCAAAAUGACACCUUUUCUCGUCGUGUCAACGGAUACAAAAUGGCU